UUUUUUAAUGCAAUUAGGUUC
rnacentral:piRNA from 1 species